rnacentral:sRNA from 1 species
UGCAUCUGAGGCCUGCGAGGAUGAGAACCUCCGGGGGCAGGAGGUUCGACUCGAGCGAAGCGAGAGAACGUUGCGUCAGCAACGGCCCGCAGGGCGAGCCA